UAUCUGCCGUGGGCGCUGGAGAACUGAGGGGGGCUGCUCCUAGUACGAGAGGACCGGAGUGGACGCAUCACUGGUGUUCGGGUUGUCAUGCCAAUGGCACUGCCCGGUAGCUAAAUGCGGAAGAGAUAAGUGCUGAAAGCAUCUAAGCACGAAACUUGCCCCGAGAUGAGUUCUCCCUGACUCCUUGAGAGUCCUGAAGGAACGUUGAAGACGACGACGUUGAUAGGCCGGGUGUGUAAGCGCAGCGAUGCGUUGAGCUAACCGGUACUAAUGAACCGUGAGGCUUAACCUU
rnacentral:rRNA from 1 species